AUGGUCCGUGGACCACAGCCUGCAGAUGCACACCCAUCGUCACUACUAUGGUGUCGUGACGACAAUCUAUUUAAGCGCAACUUCCAGUUUUCCACAAAAUCAGCGAAGCAGAACAAGAAGUCUUUGGGACUAGACUUCAACCCUGGUCCCUCUGCUCCCCGUACUAACGACACACAUGAUGCAGAACCCAAUGUCAUCGGUCCGUUCUACAACCUGGAUGGCCUCAUUACUCACAUUUCUGUUCUAGGUGCCAAAGUGGAUCAUUCUGAUAAUGAUGCUCUGUAUGAUGAAGCCCUUGCCACAAGAUGCUGCAUAUCCUAA
rnacentral:rRNA from 1 species